GUACCAGAAUGAAGUAUGAGAAUUGAGAUAGAGAAAGCUCUUCAGUGACUGUGUUUUGUAGUCCAUUUGUUAAUUUGACUUUUGUUCACCCCAGUGGAAGAAAUUGGGUCAGGUUUAAGUGUAUUAGCAAAUUCUGCACUGGGAAGAUUGGAAGCAUAGUCAACAUACCUUCUUCGUACUUUUGUAAUUUUUUUGAUUAUCGUGUGUGUGUGUGAAAAUGUUAAUGCUAAAACCAUCUUUCUGUCUGCAGGGCUAUGAUAACACAGAGAGUAGUGUUCGCAAGGCCAGCGUGUUCUGUUUGGUGUCCAUCUAUUCUGUGAUUGGUGAGGAGCUGAAGCCACAUUUGGCCCAGCUCACGGGUAGCAAGAUGAAGUUGCUAAAUCUGUAUAUUAAGAGGGCCCAGACCACCACCAGCAACAGCAGCAGUUCUUCAGACAUGUCGUCUUACAGCUAGCCGGAUGUACUCUAAUCAGUGCCCUACACGUGCAUUUGGGAACAUAGUUGUGCCUCCUCCAGAAUCUUUUUUUUUUUUUGUAUUGCUUCAUCACAGUCUUGCUGGAUUUUCCCAGAGAGAUAUGUUGCUCACUGCAAAUCAGACUUUUUUUUUUUUUUCAUCCAGCUCCUGGAAACCUCUUAGUGUCUCAUGCAUCUUUCCAUCUGUGAAACAUUGAAUGUAAAGAAAAAUGCAUGCCGGCUUUUUGAUAGGGAACAGAUCUUCCAUGAUUGGCACUGCUUAUAUAAUUGGAGCAACCAAGCUAUCUUCAGCUUCUGAAGAGGUGAUUCGUUAACUACAUUUAUUAGUAAUAACUUAUUCAUGUUUGCAAGUGGUGUUAAAGGUUUAAUUGAGUUAUCUAUAUAUUUUAAAUGGACACAAUUGGCUUAACUAAUACAUCACUUGAAUUUAAAUCAAUGCUAGUGGAUCAUUUGGCUGGCCGAGUGAUAAAUGUAAAGAAAAGAGAAAAAUGUAAGUAAUUUGUAGGUUUGGCUACAAUGACAACCAAAAAAACAAACAAACAAAAAACGUAGGAUUAAAACAUUCUUAUAUUCAUUUUUAUUUAAUGGGACCGCAAUACCACAUCCCAUAAUGUUGAAAGUAUAGGAAAUUGUUUCCAAGUCUUUAAGAAGGCUAAUGUAAAGCAAUUGUGUUGAUUUUAUUAUCGGAUGGAUUAUGUGUUAAAAAUGUGGGCCUCACUACAGAACACAAGGACAAACUUCUGAAUGUAGAGCUUUUCCUUUCAUCUUUGGGGAAAAAAGCGAGGGUUUUGUGGGUAAACAUACAAGCCACAACAACUUGGACAUUUAAAAGUUCACACUCAGUGGAGUUGGAAACAUGACCAGGAGCGUCUUCAGACAAGAAACAAUGAAUGAAAUCAAACCGAUUUACACUUUGUUCUUGUGGCAAGAGGAUUGUGAUGGAAAUUUCAAAACUACUAUGCCUUACGUUCCUUUUUCUGCUUUCAAAACUCAGACUGUUAUAUACAUGUCCACAGGCAUUCGUAUUACACUGCUAAAGCACGGCGCUGCAAGUUUGCGCAGCACAUGUCUAUGACGCUAAUAAUGAAAACCCUCUAAUCUGGCUCAAGAACUAGAGGUGAUGUUAUGUUCUCCGAAAGGUCUGAACUCUUUCUUUUUCCUUGUUCAUCUGGAGAUUUUUUCCAUCUGAUGUUGUGCUGGGCGUUUAGUGUUUUGUACAUACCUUUAAAUCAUUGCUUCUUCCCUCCCACAAAAUUAAGGUAAAAAUGGUGUUGCACUUUUUUGCACGUUAACAAAUAGCCUGCAUGUUUUGAUGACGUAACCAUCCUGUGCUGCCGUGACUGACCUAGGUUUGGCUGUCUGUGCCACAUGUCAGUCUGUAAAUACAGUAUUAUUAUUGUUAUUAUUAAUAUGUUGCCCAGGUGGGGAAGUAGACAAGUGUAAACUCAAAUGGGUCUCACAGAGUUGAUCAAAAUGUCUAUCUGUCCUCAGGCUGUGAACCAGACCAUAUUAGAAAAUAAGGACAGACAUUUGAAAGCACCCUACUUUCCUUAAGUAUUAUAUACUGGGGCAUGUGGCUUUUAUUGGUAUGCUAAGUGUGCGUACCCUUGUAUGAUGCAGCGUUUCUUUCUAAUGGAUUUUAACUGAUUCAGAUCAUGGACCAUCAUUUUGGUUUAGACUGGGGCUAUUCAUAAAAAUAACCUGUUCCUGAAAGAACAAAUUCAGCUGUGCGGAUCAACAAUGCAAGUAUUAAGUUAAACAUGUCCCCUUGGUUUUCCUCAAAUGUUGACCUCUAAAGAUAUUCCAUCAAAUUGUUCACUACACAUAUUAGACUUUUUGUUAUUGGACACAGAUACACUCUUGUAUUUAUACAUUUAUUUUAUUUCCUGUCCCAAUGUACAGUUUUUUUUUUUUUUUCUUUUCUUCUUAAAGGCUUGUGAUAGAUUUACACCAACCUAAGUCUGGCCUAGAAUUAAAACUACCAGAAACAUGAA